UUAAGCGACUAAGCGUACACGGUGGAUGCCCUGGCAGUCAGAGGCGAUGAAGGACGUGCUAAUCUGCGAAAAGCGUCGGUAAGGUGAUAUGAACCGUUACAGCCGGCGAUGUCCGAAUGGGGAAACCCAGUGCAAUUCGUUGCACUAUCGUUAACUGAAUACAUAGGUUAACGAGGCGAACCGGGGGAACUGAAACAUCUAAGUACCCCGAGGAAAAGAAAUCAACCGAGAUUCCCCCAGUAGCGGCGAGCGAACGGGGAGCAGCCCAGAGUCUGAAUCAGCUUGUGUGUUAGUGGAACGGUCUGGAAAGUCCGACGGUACAGGGUGAUAGUCCCGUACACCAAAAUGCACAGGCUGUGAACUCGAAGAGUAGGGCGGGACACGUGGUAUCCUGUCUGAAUAUGGGGGGACCAUCCUCCAAGGCUAAAUACUCCUGACUGACCGAUAGUGAACCAGUACCGUGAGGGAAAGGCGAAAAGAACCCCGGCGAGGGGAGUGAAAAAGAACCUGAAACCGUGUACGUACAAGCAGUGGGAGCACCUUCGGGUGUGACUGCGUACCUUUUGUAUAAUGGGUCAGCGACUUAUAUUCUGUAGCAAGGUUAACCGUAUAGGGGAGCCGCAGGGAAACCGAGUCUUAACUGGGCGUUAAGUUGCAGGGUAUAGACCCGAAACCCGGUGAUCUAGCCAUGGGCAGGUUGAAGGUUGGGUAACACUAACUGGAGGACCGAACCGACUAAUGUUGAAAAAUUAGCGGAUGACUUGUGGCUGGGGGUGAAAGGCCAAUCAAACCGGGAGAUAGCUGGUUCUCCCCGAAAGCUAUUUAGGUAGCGCCUCGUGAAUUCAUCUUCGGGGGUAGAGCACUGUUUCGGCUAGGGGGUCAUCCCGACUUACCAACCCGAUGCAAACUACGAAUACCGAAGAAUGUUAUCACGGGAGACACACGGCGGGUGCUAACGUCCGUCGUGAAGAGGGAAACAACCCAGACCGCCAGCUAAGGUCCCAAAGUCAUGGUUAAGUGGGAAACGAUGUGGGAAGGCACAGACAGCCAGGAUGUUGGCUUAGAAGCAGCCAUCAUUUAAAGAAAGCGUAAUAGCUCACUGGUCGAGUCGGCCUGCGCGGAAGAUGUAACGGGGCUAAACCAUGCACCGAAGCUGCGGCAGCGACACUAUGUGUUGUUGGGUAGGGGAGCGUUCUGUAAGCCUGCGAAGGUGUGCUGUGAGGCAUGCUGGAGGUAUCAGAAGUGCGAAUGCUGACAUAAGUAACGAUAAAGCGGGUGAAAAGCCCGCUCGCCGGAAGACCAAGGGUUCCUGUCCAACGUUAAUCGGGGCAGGGUGAGUCGACCCCUAAGGCGAGGCCGAAAGGCGUAGUCGAUGGGAAACAGGUUAAUAUUCCUGUACUUGGUGUUACUGCGAAGGGGGGACGGAGAAGGCUAUGUUAGCCGGGCGACGGUUGUCCCGGUUUAAGCAUGUAGGCUGGUUGUCCAGGCAAAUCCGGAUAAUCAAGGCUGAGGUGUGAUGACGAGGCACUACGGUGCUGAAGUAACAAAUGCCCUGCUUCCAGGAAAAGCCUCUAAGCAUCAGGUAACAUUAAAUCGUACCCCAAACCGACACAGGUGGUCAGGUAGAGAAUACCAAGGCGCUUGAGAGAACUCGGGUGAAGGAACUAGGCAAAAUGGUGCCGUAACUUCGGGAGAAGGCACGCUGGUGUGUAGGUGAAGCCCCUGCGGGUGGAGCUGAGACCAGUCGAAGAUACCAGCUGGCUGCAACUGUUUAUUAAAAACACAGCACUGUGCAAACACGAAAGUGGACGUAUACGGUGUGACGCCUGCCCGGUGCCGGAAGGUUAAUUGAUGGGGUUAUCCGUAAGGAGAAGCUCUUGAUCGAAGCCCCGGUAAACGGCGGCCGUAACUAUAACGGUCCUAAGGUAGCGAAAUUCCUUGUCGGGUAAGUUCCGACCUGCACGAAUGGCGUAAUGAUGGCCAGGCUGUCUCCACCCGAGACUCAGUGAAAUUGAACUCGCUGUGAAGAUGCAGUGUACCCGCGGCAAGACGGAAAGACCCCGUGAACCUUUACUAUAGCUUGACACUGAACAUUGAGCCUUGAUGUGUAGGAUAGGUGGGAGGCUUUGAAGCGUGGACGCCAGUCUGCGUGGAGCCAACCUUGAAAUACCACCCUUUAAUGUUUGAUGUUCUAACGUUGGCCCUUACCGGGGUUGCGGACAGUGUCUGGUGGGUAGUUUGACUGGGGCGGUCUCCUCCCAAAGCGUAACGGAGGAGCACGAAGGUUAGCUAAUCCGGUCGGACAUCAGGAGGUUAGUGCAAUGGCAUAAGCUAGCUUGACUGCGAGCGUGACGGCGCGAGCAGGUGCGAAAGCAGGUCAUAGUGAUCCGGUGGUUCUGAAUGGAAGGGCCAUCGCUCAACGGAUAAAAGGUACUCCGGGGAUAACAGGCUGAUACCGCCCAAGAGUUCAUAUCGACGGCGGUGUUUGGCACCUCGAUGUCGGCUCAUCACAUCCUGGGGCUGAAGUAGGUCCCAAGGGUAUGGCUGUUCGCCAUUUAAAGUGGUACGCGAGCUGGGUUUAGAACGUCGUGAGACAGUUCGGUCCCUAUCUGCCGUGGGCGCUGGAGAAUUGAGGGGGGCUGCUCCUAGUACGAGAGGACCGGAGUGGACGCAUCACUGGUGUUCGGGUUGUCAUGCCAAUGGCACUGCCCGGUAGCUAAAUGCGGAAGAGAUAAGUGCUGAAAGCAUCUAAGCACGAAACUUGCCCCGAGAUGAGUUCUCCCUGAGACUUUAAGUCUCCUGAAGGAACGUUGAAGACGACGACGUUGAUAGGCCGGGUGUGUAAGCGCAGCGAUGCGUUGAGCUAACCGGUACUAAUGAACCGUGAGGCUUAACCU
rnacentral:rRNA from 1 species